rnacentral:rRNA from 1 species
AGGAAAAGAAAUCAACCGAGAUUCCCCCAGUAGCGGCGAGCGAACGGGGAGGAGCCCAGAGCCUGAAUCAGCAUGUGUGUUAGUGGAAGCGUCUGGAAAGGCGCGCGAUACAGGGUGACAGCCCCGUACACAAAAGCGCAUGUGCUGUGAGCUCGAUGAGUAGGGCGGGACACGUGAUAUCCUGUCUGAAUAUGGGGGGACCAUCCUCCAAGGCUAAAUACUCCUGACUGACCGAUAGUGAACCAGUACCGUGAGGGAAAGGCGAAAAGAACCCCGGCGAGGGGAGUGAAAAAGAACCUGAAACCGUGUACGUACAAGCAGUGGGAGCACCCUUUUGGGUGUGACUGCGUACCUUUUGUAUAAUGGGUCAGCGACUUAUAUUCUGUAGCAAGGUUAACCGAAUAGGGGAGCCGGAGGGAAACCGAGUCUUAACCGGGCGUUAAGUUGCAGGGUAUAGACCCGAAACCCGGUGAUCUAGCCAUGGGCAGGUUGAAGGUUGGGUAACACUAACU